rnacentral:misc_RNA from 1 species
AACUUUGAUUUCUCGUAAGGUGCCGAGCGAGUCAAAAUAAUAACAUCGCCCGAUCCCUAGUCGGCAUAGUUUACGGUUAAGACUACGACGGUAUCUGAUCGUCUUCGAUCCCCUAACUUUCGUUCACUGAUUAAUGAAAACAUCCUUGGCAAAGGCUUUCGCAGUAGUUAGUCUUCAAUAAAUCCAAGAAUUUCACCUCUGACAAUUGAAUACUGAUGCCCCCGACUAUCCCUAUUAAUCAUUACGGCGGUCCUAGA